ACUGGUGUUGUUCAUGAAGGAUAACAGAUAUGGUGCUUUUGUGCCCUUCAACUUUUCUCUGGUUUAUUGCUUUAUCUUGUAUGUCAUCUGUGAUUGCAGAGAGAAGAUUAUUAUGCUCCUCAGAACAUCUUAGUGUCUGGUACACCUUUGAUGGACCGUUGUAUUACCUGUCAAUGACUGCUUCCCCCUGCUCUCUAGGAGUGAAUUUGUUCACUGUAACUUAUACAGUAAUCCCAAUGUUCACAAUCAGUCGUAUUGGUUUUCAUGGUAGUGUUCACUACAAAGGUCAGCUGUGGUUGGACCACAUACAGCCAUCUGUUCCUUGUGAGGAUUUCAAAAUAUGUUACAUCAUCAAAGGAGAAACACUUCAUGAGACUUUUCCAAUGUACAUAAAAAAGUUUAAUGGUCCGGAGGGAGAGUAUCAGAUUUACCUGACUGUCGACAUUAUUGAUGACCUUGGAAACAAAGUGACAUUACAAUCCAAUGCCACUAUAGAAGCAAAAAAUUAUGGCAGCGAGAAGACAUUUUUUGUCCCACAGCUGGGAGGGCUGUAGAGCAAAAUACAUGGAGUAUCCAGCUUCUUUCUUUUUUGAGGCAGAUGUCAUUUACUCAUUCUGUAUUUUCGGUUCUGUUUUCCGAGCAGAUCAGGUGAUCAUCAGUGUUUAAUGCAUUGUCACUGUAAUGAUUGUUUUGGAGUUCUUGUAUCAGACAUGGUGUCAUUCAACAUGACAUGUACACGUUCUGAUAUCAGGUAUCAAACAUUUGAAUUAUCAAUAACAUUUAGAUUCCACCAAAUAGGAAAGACAACAUCUUCAGGCCACCCAGCAGUCUGUCAAUUAGGAACUUGAUUCUUCUUCUUCCAGGACGGCGCAUUAUCAGCUGCUGAGUAUUGUCAUUCAUUCAGAACUGCUCUCCUAUUUGAAGUUUGACAGACUGAAAUAGUUAAAGGAGGUUAAAAUAAGAGCCCUGAGCAGCUUCAUCCACAGUGUCCCCAUCAGCCAAGAGUAGCUCUUACUCAUUUUUUCUAAAUGUGUGAUUUAUGACACUUGAUCACAGAAACAAGAGUCACCACAUAAUAUACUAAGUUAAAAGUUAUGGUUAUGUUAAUGAAUGCAAAUGGCAACAAUUUGUUUUGAAAGUGUUUCUGUGUGUAUUGAUUGAUUGUCCAAUAUUAUAAAACAAACAUGCCACCAAAUAAAUGCGUGCACACAUAUACUGAAUAUAUAUUCAGCUUUGUCAUCACAUACAAAAAUAAAAAUGACAUUUUACAUUAUAUUAAUAUAAUUCAAUAAUUGAAUUUUCAGCAUCAUUACUCCAGUCUUCAGUGUCAGAUUCUUGCAGAAAUAAUGAUGAUUUACUGUUCAAGAAACAUUUCUGAUUAUUAUCAAUGUUAAAAACAGUACUUUUUUUUUUUUUUUCAGGAUUCUUUGAAGAAUAGAAAGUUCAAAAGAAUAGCAUAUAUUUGAAACAGAAUCUUUUGUAACAUUAUAAACAUCUUUACUGUCACUUUUGCUCAAUUUAAUGCAUCCUUUCUCAGCAUCCUACCUCUUGUAGUUUGUCAGAUUUGAAGAUGUUACUAGUGGCAAGUGAGCCGAUGACAUUGCUGGAAUAUGAAAGUCUGGAUAAAGUUGUGGUACAGAGUUAUAUAUUACGGAAGCCCUAAACGGUCAUGGAUUAUUAUUAUUUUUAUUAUUAUUACUUUGUGGCAGGGUGCAUUAUCCUGCUGAAAGAGGCCAGAGCCACCAGGGAAUACUGUUUCCAUGAAAGGGUGUACAUGGUCUGCAACAAUGCUUAGGUAGGUGGUACGUGUCAAAGAAACAUCCACAUGGAUGGCAGGACCCAAGGUUUCCCAGCAGAACAUUGCCCAAAGCAUCACACUGCCUCCGCCGGCUUGCCUUCUUCCCAUAGUGCAUCCUGGUGUCAUGUGUUCCCCAGGUAAGCGACGCACACGCACCCGGCCAUCCAUGUGAUGUAAAAGAAAAUGUGAUUCAUCAGACCAGGCCACCUUCUUCCAUUGCUCCGUGGUCCAGUUCUGAUGCUCACGUGCCCACUGUUGGCUCUUUCGGCGGUGGACAUGGGUCAGCAUGGGCACCUUGACUGGUCUGCGGCUAUGCAGCCCCAUACGCAACAAACUGUGAUGCAAUGUGUAUUCUGACACCUUUCUAUCAGACCAGCAUUAACUUCUUGAGCAAUUUGAGCUACAGUAACUCGUCUGUUGAAUCUGACCUCAUGGGCCAGCCUUCGCUCCCCACGUGCAUCAAUGAGCCUUGGCCGCCUAUGACCCUGUCGCUGGUUCACCACUGUUCCUUCCUUGGACAACUUUUGAUAGAUACUGACCACUGCAGACCAGGAACACCCCACAAGAUCUGCAGUUUUGGAGAUGCUCUAACCCUGCUGUCUAGCCAUCCUAAUUUGGCCCUUGUCUAACUCGCUCAAAUCCUUACGCUUGCCCAUUUUUCCUGCUUCUAACACAACAACUUGGACAAAAUGUUCACUUGCUGCUUAAUAUAUCCCACCCACUAACAGGUGCCGUGAUGAAGAGAUAAUCAGUGUUAUUCACUUCACCUAAUUGGUGUACAUUUACAUGAACAAUGUGUAGUCUUUCUCCAUGUUACCCACACCUGGAUAUCCCUGUUUAUAUGUCAGCAAAAGUCUGCUGGAUGAAGCUAAACAUGUUAGUUGAUCAUCAUAGAUCUGAGUCA